UUUUUUUGAAGUAUCAGUGCUUUAUAGACUGUCAUAGAAUACAAGGUAGAUUCAAACGCCUUCCAAAUCGAGUGCUUCAUAGACUGUCAUAGAAUACAAGGUAGAUUCAAACGCCUUCCAAAUCGAGCCAUGGACCAAGAGCAUCAACUUGACAUAACUUCGAUCAAGGGUUUAAAGCCCGAAAUUUUGGCGUGAAUUCAAAUCAUUUCGACCACACACAAUGAUGGCAGCAACCUCUAUGGUACACAGAACAAGUGUUAUUUCACAGCUUCCGGCUAGUCAAUGGUGUUCCUGCAGGAUAAAAGGCAGCAAGGAGCAAUCAUCCAUGAAAACUCAUUGGUACAUCUUU
rnacentral:lncRNA from 1 species